AGACCCGAAACCCGGUGAUCUAGCCAUGGGCAGGUUGAAGGUUGGGUAACACUAACUGGAGGACCGAACCGACUAAUGUUGAAAAAUUAGCGGAUGACCUGUGGCUGGGGGUGAAAGGCCAAUCAAACCGGGAGAUAGCUGGUUCUCCCCGAAAGCUAUUUAGGUAGCGCCUCGUGAAUUCAUCUCCGGGGGUAGAGCACUGUUUCGGCUAGGGGGCCAUCCCGGCUUACCAACCCGAUGCAAACUGCGAAUACCGGAGAAUGUUAUCACGGGAGACACACGGCGGGUGCUAACGUCCGUCGUGAAGAGGGAAACAACCCAGACCGCCAGCUAAGGUCCCAAAGUCAUGGUUAAGUGGGAAACGAUGUGGGAAGGCCCAGACAGCCAGGAUGUUGGCUUAGAAGCAGCCAUCAUUUAAAGAAAGCGUAAUAGCUCACUGGUCGAGUCGGCCUGCGCGGAAGAUGUAACGGGGCUAAACCAUGCACCGAAGCUGCGGCAGCGAACGUAUCACCCAAGACAACUUUACGGAGUUGACGAUUGACGGAGCGAAGCGACGUCAAAGCGUUCAUUAAAGUCGAGUUGGCUUAGGGAUACGUUCGUUGGGUAGGGGAGCGUUCUGUAAGCCUGUGAAGGUGUGUCGUGAGGCAUGCUGGAGGUAUCAGAAGUGCGAAUGCUGACA
rnacentral:rRNA from 3 species